AGUGAACGCUGGCGGUAGGCCUAACACAUGCAAGUCGAACGGCAGCACAGGAGAGCUUGCUCUCUGGGUGGCGAGUGGCGGACGGGUGAGGAAUACAUCGGAAUCUACUCUGUCGUGGGGGAUAACGUAGGGAAACUUACGCUAAUACCGCAUACGACCUACGGGUGAAAGCAGGGGACCUUCGGGCCUUGCGCGAUUGAAUGAGCCGAUGUCGGAUUAGCUAGUUGGCGGGGUAAAGGCCCACCAAGGCGACGAUCCGUAGCUGGUUUGAGAGGAUGAGCAGCCACACUGGAACUGAGACACGGUCCAGACUCCUACGGGAGGCAGCAGUGGGGAAUAUUGAACAAUGGGCGCAAGCCUGAUCCGGCCAUACCGCGUGGGUGAAGAAGGCCUUCGGGUUGUAAAGCCCUUUUGUUGGGAAAGAAAUCCAGCUGGCUAAUACCCGGUUGGGAUGACGGUACCCAAAGAAUAAGCACCGGCUAACUUCGUGCCAGCCGCCGCCGUAA
rnacentral:rRNA from 1 species